rnacentral:rRNA from 1 species
UACGUAGGGUCCGAGCGUUGUCCGGAAUUAUUGGGCGUAAAGGGCUCGUAGGCGGUCUGUCACGUCGGGAGUGAAAACACGGGGCUUAACCCCGUGCCUGCUUCCGAUACGGGCAGACUAGAGGUAGGUAGGGGAGAAUGGAAUUCCCGGUGUAGCGGUGAAAUGCGCAGAUAUCGGGAGGAACACCGGUGGCGAAGGCGGUUCUCUGGGCCUUACCUGACGCUGAGGAGCGAAAGCGUGGGGAGCGAACAGG